rnacentral:rRNA from 1 species
UGCAGUAGAACGCUGAACUUUCGUACUUGUACGAAAGAACGGAGUUGCGAACGGGUGAGUAACACGUGGGGAACCUACCUCUUAGCGGGGGAUAACACAUAGAAAUGUGUGCUAAUACCGCAUAAUUGCUUUCAUCGCAUGAUGAGAGUAUGAAAGGCGCAAAUGCGUCACUAAGAGAUGGCCCCGCGGUGCAUUAGCUAGUUGGUGAGGUAACAGCUCACCAAGGCGACGAUGCAUAGCCGACCUGAGAGGGUGAUCGGCCACAUUGGGACUGAGACACGGCCCAAACUCCUACGGGAGGCAGCAGUAGGGAAUCUUCGGCAAUGGACGGAAGUCUGACCGAGCAACGCCGCGUGAGUGAAGAAGGUUUUCGGAUCGUAAAACUCUGUUGAUAGAGAAGAACGUGUGUGAGAGUGGAAAGUUCAUGCAGUGACGGUAUCUAUCCAGAAAGGGACGGCUAACUACGUGCCAGCAGCCGCGGUAAUACGUAGGUCCCAAGCGUUGUCCGGAUUUAUUGGGCGUAAAGCGAGCGCAGGCGGUUUGAUAAGUUGGAUGUCAAAGGCAAUGGCUCAACCAUUGUACGCAUCCAAAACUGUCAGACUUGAGUGCAGGAGAGGAGAGUGGAAUUCCAUGUGUAGCGGUGAAAUGCGUAGAUAUAUGGAGGAACACCAGUGGCGAAGGCGGCUCUCUGGCCUGUAACUGACGCUGAGGCUCGAAAGCGUGGGGAGCGAACAGGAUUAGAUACCCUGGUAGUCCACGCCGUACACGAUAUGUAUUGAGUCACU